CACGUGAGCACCAAGCGUUGUCCGGAUUUAUUGGGCGUAAAGAGCUCGUAGGCGGUUCGGUAAGUCGGGUGUGAAAACUUUGGGCUCAACCCAAAGCCUGCACUCGAUACUGCUGUGACUUGAGUCCGGUAGGGGAGUGGGGAAUUCCUGGUGUAGCGGUGGAAUGCGCAGAUAUCAGGAGGAACACCGGUGGCGAAGGCGCCACUCUGGGCCGGUACUGACGCUGAGGAGCGAAAGCGUGGGGAGCGAACAGG
rnacentral:rRNA from 1 species